AAUUAGAGAGAAUAUGAGUAGUGAUGAAGGGAAAAGCUUGUGAAAUUUUGUAGGAAGUGGAAAGGGGAUGGAUGUUUAGGGGAGCUUUAGGAGUAGGUGGGUUGGAAAGAUAUCAUAUAUUAAUGUUUUAAUAAUAUAAAUUGAAUUCUUUCCUAUGCCACCCAUUCCUGUGGCUUCCCAUCAUUUCUCUCUUUCCUUUUUCUGCAGUUGCUAAAUCACUUGCAUUAUUUGUUUUGUGGUAUGACAUCUGAGCUCUCAAUCUUGUUGAAAUUUUAUUUGUCUGCUGUUAUGGAGAUUUUAAUUGAAAUUAUUGGUGGUUGAUAAGUGUUCUACAUUCCCAACUUAAAUAAUGACUAAAAUUGUUUGGAAGUAAAAUUCGAUAGUCAAUUUAUGGCUGUGAAUAAUUGGUGAAAAGAGACGGUAGAGCUGUAUGCUCAGCUGAGAUUGAGUUGUGAUCUGGUUUUAUUUGAGAAUUUGGUGAUAUUUUUGCGGUUUUAACUUCUGUGUUCAUUGAUAAAGUAUUAUCUCUUGGAUUGUCUCAUUAUCAAGUUUUUCAUAGUAGUAUAUUUGUUGUAGCACUUUGGCCGAUCUAUAUGGUUUUCAUUUUCGGAGUCUUGGUAUAGCAUUAGGCUGUUUGACAAUUGUGGAAAUCGGAAAUUUUCUCACUAAACACUUUAAUUACCAGAAUAUUGAGCUUAUAUAUUUUAUCGGUAGUGAUAUGCUAUCCAAUUGCAGUUGCUUGGGGAGGACCUAACUGCUGGAAGUUUAUAUGCCCCAUAUAAUUGCCUCAUCAGUACCUGAUAUUCUUGAACUUAAUCUUGUUUGAUUCAUUUCUGAUAAGAUGUAAAUCUACUUUGAAGCUUAAAUGCAUACUGCGUCUGAUGCUUCAAUCAUGGCAGUUUUACUCUUCUCAAUUCUCAUGCUAAUUCUAGUGAUUGAUCUAAUCUUCUCUUUUUAACGGAUGCACUUCAUCUAAAUCAAAUGUUGCUCUUAUAUGGCUGAAGCUUUUAAUGUUGUGCAGUUGUAGUUAAGAGAGUAAGGAGUUGAUUUGUGCACUCCGAUGAUGUAGUUCUGCGUUAAUUUCACCAGGCUAACGAUUUCAUGAAACACCCAUUUUUUACUUAUGAAUAUGUUGAAUCGUCCCUUCCCUCCGAAUUAGAUUUUUUUUCUUAAUCAGGAAUUCACAAGAGCAGGAGAAUCACCAGUUGAUUACAUUAUCAACCCUACCUUAACUUCCUAACCUAUAUUUAUCCGAAUAUAGUUCAAUCAGGCACAUCAAUAGAGUAGAAACACUUUGAUAAGCUGACAUUUAUCCAUAAAAUUAGGUUAUUAAGCAUGUCGAUAACUCUUCUUUUUCUUGAUUGUCUUUGAAUGAGUAAAAUUGAUUACUUAAUCAAGAAUCUCUCACUACAGUUUAACUUCCUUUUCGUCUGUCGUGAAGGUAAGUCAUGUUCUCUUUGAAUGUUUCCUUCCCGGUGUGGACGAGCUUAUUUGAAAUGUCAUAGUGCAACUGAGAAAUGCAGAGGCAAGAUGGUCUAAGCUCUUAUUAGAUUUUUCUGUCCUCAGAAAAGAUGGAAUAACACCAAUUUCCUUAAUGUGGUAAUCUCCAGUGGUCUAUCUUUUUUCUUCUGGCAUCUGAUUACAAAGCUCUAUGAGCGAACACUCUUUUUUCUCAUGUAACCCAAAGAAAAGACUGUUCUAUAUCUUGUUGAAUGAAUGAAACUCAUGGACCAAGAAGUUUUUCUCAUGUAAAAGGGACUACUAGUAAACAUUGGGCUGGGUGAUGGCAAUAGACAGGGGCGUAUCUAGAGUACAGCAUAUGGGUUCGCGGGAAUCUAGUAACUUUUGCG
rnacentral:lncRNA from 1 species